rnacentral:lncRNA from 1 species
UCGCUAAAGGCCCCUAUAGUGACAGAACCGUCGCUAUAGGUGUUCUUGAGCCUACCCAGAUCUUCAUAAGGCAGAACCGAGUGGGCUACUUUGACCGUGAAUAACUCUCUCAUCUUAACGAGUUUGGACAAUCUAUAAAUUGGGUCUUGUAGAGGAAAUACCAGACAACAAUUACCAACAAUCAUAACGUUUAAACAACAUCAGAUCUGGGAGAAAUAAUCUAUCAAAGUAGCUUUCAAAGCUGUUCUUCACAAAGAACAGUUCGAAGUGCCAACUUUGGACCUCUAUAACUUGAUGAUCAUGCAACUUUUACGUGAUCUAUCAAUUCCAGUGUGUAGACAACAUGUAGGACUACAAUUCUAACACUUAACAUCAUCAUAAAAACAAGAAAUCAAGCAGAUAAAGAAUGGUCAAACCUUGUCAGAAAAAUCAACACUUGGGAAAUUCUGGGCUGCCCAGAAUUUUUCCGGUCAAUGCCGGUCAACCAAGUUUGACCUUAAAUAACUCUUAAUCUGUAAUAUAUAUGGACCUGAUUCUUUUUGGAGGUUAAAUACCACAUAACAAGCUACACAUAACAACCUUUAGAACACAAAACACAUUAAAGAUAACCGAGAUAUAAGGCCUGACAUUUUCCAAAAAAAUAUUUUCUGGACACUUAGAAUAUUUUCUGGGUUUGAAGAACAGCCGGUCAAUGCCGGUCAACCCACUUUGACCGCN